CACGUGCUACAAUGGACAGAACAAAGGGCUGCAAGACCGCAAGGUUUAGCCAAUCCCAUAAAUCUGUUCUCAGUUCGGAUCGCAGUCUGCAACUCGACUGCGUGAAGCUGGAAUCGCUAGUAAUCGCGGAUCAGCAUGCCGCGGUGAAUACGUUCCCGGGCCUUGUACACACCGCCCGUCACACCACGAGAGUUUGCAACACCCGAAGUCGGUGAGGUAACCUUUAUGGAGCCAGCCGCCGAAGGUGGGGCAGAUGAUUGGGGUGAAGUCGUAACAAGGUAGCCGUAUCGGAAGGUGCGGUUGGAUCACCUCC
rnacentral:rRNA from 1 species